rnacentral:rRNA from 1 species
UGGGGAAUUUUGGACAAUGGGCGAAAGCCUGAUCCAGCAAUGCCGCGUGUGUGAAGGAGGCCUUCGGGUUGUAAAGCACUUUUGUCCGGAAAGAAAUCCUUGGCUCUAAUACAGUCGGGGGAUGACGGUACCGGAAGAAUAAGCACCGGCUAACUACGUGCCAGCAGCCGCGGUAAUACGUAGGGUGCAAGCGUUAAUCGGAAUUACUGGGCGUAAAGCGUGCGCAGGCGGUUUGCUAAGACCGAUGUGAAAUCCCCGGGCUCAACCUGGGAACUGCAUUGGUGACUGGCAGGCUAGAGUAUGGCAGAGGGGGGUAGAAUUCCACGUGUAGCAGUGAAAUGCGUAGAGAUGUGGAGGAAUACCGAUGGCGAAGGCAGCCCCCUGGGCCAAAUACUGACGCUCAUGCACGAAAGCGUGGGGAGCAAAACAGGAUUAGAUACCCUGGGUAGUCCACGCCCU